rnacentral:misc_RNA from 1 species
UCCAGUUUGUCACUGGCAGUCUUCUUAGAGUGCCCACCUUUACGUGCUGGUAACUAAGAACAAGGGUUGCGCUCGUUACGGGACUUAACCCAACAUCUCACGACACGAGCUGACGACAGCCAUGCAGCACCUGUCACCUGGUUCCCGAAGGCACUCUCCCCAUGACGGGAGAUUCCAAGGAUGUCAAGGAUAGGUAAGGUUCUUCGCGUUGCAUCGAAUUAAACCACAUGCUCCACCGCUUGUGCAGGCCCCCGUCAAUUCCUUUGAGUUUUAACCUUGCGGCCGUACUCCCCAGGCGGAGAACUUAUCGCGUUAGCUGCGGCACUAGAGGAUAAAUCCCCCAACGCCUAGUUCUCAUCGUUUACGGCGUGGACUAC